CAUAGGUUAAUGAGGCGAACCGGGGGAACUGAAACAUCUAAGUACCCCGAGGAAAAGAAAUCAACCGAGAUUCCCCCAGUAGCGGCGAGCGAACGGGGAGCAGCCCAGAGCCUGAAUCAGUAUGUGUGUUAGUGGAAGCGUCUGGAAAGGCGCGCGAUACAGGGUGACAGCCCCGUACACAAAAAUGCACAUGCUGUGAGCUCGAUGAGUAGGGCGGGACACGUGGUAUCCUGUCUGAAUAUGGGGGGACCAUCCUCCAAGGCUAAAUACUCCUGACUGACCGAUAGUGAACCAGUACCGUGAGGGAAAGGCGAAAAGAACCCCGGCGAGGGGAGUGAAAAAGAACCUGAAACCGUGUACGUACAAGCAGUGGGAGCACGCUUAGGCGUGUGACUGCGUACCUUUUGUAUAAUGGGUCAGCGACUUAUAUUCUGUAGCAAGGUUAACCGAAUAGGGGAGCCGAAGGGAAACCGAGUCUUAACUGGGCGUUAAGUUGCAGGGUAUAGACCCGAAACCCGGUGAUCUAGCCAUGGGCAGGUUGAAGGUUGGGUAACACUAACUGGAGGACCGAACCGACUAAUGUUGAAAAAUUAGCGGAUGACUUGUGGCUGGGGGUGAAAGGCCAAUCAAACCGGGAGAUAGCUGGUUCUCCCCGAAAGCUAUUUAGGUAGCGCCUCGUGAAUUCAUCUCCGGGGGUAGAGCACUGUUUCGGCAAGGGGGUCAUCCCGACUUACCAACCCGAUGCAAACUGCGAAUACCGGAGAAUGUUAUCACGGGAGACACACGGCGGGUGCUAACGUCCGUCGUGAAGAGGGAAACAACCCAGACCGCCAGCUAAGGUCCCAAAGUCAUGGUUAAGUGGGAAACGAUGUGGGAAGGCCCAGACAGCCAGGAUGUUGGCUUAGAAGCAGCCAUCAUUUAAAGAAAGCGUAAUAGCUCACUGGUCGAGUCGGCCUGCGCGGAAGAUGUAACGGGGCUAAACCAUGCACCGAAGCUGCGGCAGCGACGCUGAUGCGUUGUUGGGUAGGGGAGCGUUCUGUAAGCCUGCGAAGGUGUGCUGUGAGGCAUGCUGGAGGUAUCAGAAGUGCGAAUGCUGACAUAAGUAACGAUAAAGCGGGUGAAAAGCCCGCUCGCCGGAAGACCAAGGGUUCCUGUCCAACGUUAAUCGGGGCAGGGUGAGUCGACCCCUAAGGCGAGGCCGAAAGGCGUAGUCGAUGGGAAACAGGUUAAUAUUCCUGUACUUGGUGUUACUGCGAAGGGGGGACGGAGAAGGCUAUGUUGGCCGGGCGACGGUUGUCCCGGUUUAAGCGUGUAGGCUGGU
rnacentral:rRNA from 1 species